AAGUCGUAACAAGGUUUCCGUAGGUGAACCUGCGGAAGGAUCAUUACCGAGUUAGGGUUCCUCUCACGGGCCCGACCUCCCAACCCUGUGUCUAUCACACCUUUGUCGUUGCUUCGGCGGACCGGUGAGACUGUUCCUUCUCCUCUUCGGGGGGGAAGGGGUUCUGACCGCCGGGGGUGUUUCACCCCGGGAGAGCGUCCGCCGAUGGCCCAACCACAACUUCUUUGUUCCAAACCCGGUCGUCUAAAUCAAACUUGAUCAUAAUCAAAAAAACACAAAACUUUCAACAACGGAUCUCUUGGUUCUG
rnacentral:misc_RNA from 1 species